CAAAACUUAGCUCUCCUCUGUUGCUUCCUCUCUGCUUUGUGCUCUGAUUUCCAAACCAAAAGACCAGUUUGAUCAAUGUGCCAUUGCUAGAAUGCUAAUGGAAAAAAGAAUAAUCUUCUGUGUCCCCUACCUGGCUCACCAGGUGACAUAUGUGGUUGUCAUGGUGGCAUCCUAGAGUGAGCCAAAGAAGUAGGACGUUAGACUGUGUAACCUGGAACGUAUCUGUGGUCUUGGGGGGCUGCCAGGGCUUGUUGGUUGAUGGCUCCUCUGCUCACACCCAACUAGAACUGGAAGGAGGCACUGAGAGAGGGAAAAAAAGAAGAAAAUGGACCCACAUCCUUUUCAGCUUGAGGCCAUGAAGAAAUGGAGGGAAAGAGACAGAGUAAAAAGAAGAGGAGGUCAAAGGAGAACACAGAAAUGGCCAGAGGGGCACAUAGCUCACUCUGGGGGAUGUUAUCUGCCUUGCUGUGAGGACAUUCAUGCAACCCUAUGGAGAGACACACGUAACAGGAACUGAGACCCCCACCCUGUGAAUAAGCCGUCUUAGAAACGGAUUCUCCAACCUCAGUCAAACCUUCGGGCAACUGCAGUCUCUAUGGACAUUCUAUCUGCAACCUCAUGAGGGACUUCAAACUAGAGCCACCCAGAUAAGCCACUUCUGAAUUUCUGACCU